CGGGAAACCGGAGCUAAUACCGGAUAAUAUUUUGAACCGCAUGGUUCAAAAGUGAAAGACGGUCUUGCUGUCACUUAUAGAUGGAUCCGCGCUGCAUUAGCUAGUUGGUAAGGUAACGGCUUACCAAGGCAACGAUGCAUAGCCGACCUGAGAGGGUGAUCGGCCACACUGGAACUGAGACACGGUCCAG
rnacentral:rRNA from 1 species